AUGGAUCCCAAAAAUGCAAUCCUCAUCCUAGGCCUAUUGGCCAUGGUUCUUCUCAUUUCCUCUCAGGUGUCAGCUAGGGACUUAGCUGAGACUUCCCCUAAUACCGAAGAGGUAAAUGAUGCCAAAUAUGGCGGUCACUAUGGUGGUGGUGGUCAUGGCCAUGGGCACGGUGGUCACUACAGUGGUGGUAGUGGACAUUAUGGUGGUGGUGGUGGACAUUAUGGUGGUGGUGGUGGACAUGGUGGACAUGGUGCUUCCGACAGUGGAAACUGA